GAUGAACGCUGGCGGCGUGCCUAAUACAUGCAAGUCGAGCGAACGGACGAGAAGCUUGCUUUUCUGAUGUUAGCGGCGGACGGGUGAGUAACACGUGGAUAACCUACCUAUAAGACUGGGAUAACUUCGGGAAACAGGAGCUAAUACCGGAUAAUAUUUUGAACCGCACGGUUCAAAAGUGAAAGACGGUCUUGCUGUCACUUAUAGAUGGAUCCGCGCUGCAUUAGCUAGUUGGUAAGGUAACGGCUUACCAAGGCAACGAUGCAUAGCCGACCUGAGAGGGUGAUCGGCCACACUGGAACUGAGACACGGUCCAGACUCCUACGGGAGGCAGCAGUAGGGAAUCUUCCGCAAUGGGCGAAAGCCUGACGGAGCAACGCCGCGUGAGUGAUGAAGGUCUUCGGAUCGUAAAACUCUGUUAUUAGGGAAGAACAUAUGUGUAAGUAACUGUGCACAUCUUGACGGUACCUAAUCAGAAAGCCACGGCUAACUACGU
rnacentral:rRNA from 1 species